UACGAAGGGGGCUAGCGUUGCUCGGAAUGACUGGGCGUAAAGGGCGCGUAGGCGGCUCAUACAGUCAGGCGUGAAAUUCCUGGGCUCAACCUGGGGACUGCGCUUGAGACGUGUGGGCUUGAGUGGGGAAGAGGGUCGUGGAAUUCCCAGUGUAGAGGUGAAAUCCGUAGAUAUUGGGAAGAACACCGGUGGCGAAGGCGGCGACCUGGUCCUUGACUGACGCUGAGGCGCGAAAGCGUGGGGAGCAAACAGG
rnacentral:rRNA from 1 species